rnacentral:rRNA from 1 species
GAUGAACGCUGGCGGCGUGCUUAACACAUGCAAGUCGAACGAUGAAGCCCAGCUUGCUGGGUGGAUUAGUGGCGAACGGGUGAGUAACACGUGAGUAACCUGCCCUUAACUCUGGGAUAAGCCUGGGAAACUAGGUCUAAUACCGGAUAGGAGCGUCCACCGCAUGGUGGGUGUUGGAAAGAUUUAUCGGUUUUGGAUGGACUCGCGGCCUAUCAGCUUGUUGGUGAGGUAAUGGCUCACCAAGGCGACGACGGGUAGCCGGCCUGAGAGGGUGACCGGCCACACUGGGACUGAGACACGGCCCAGACUCCUACGGGAGGCAGCAGUGGGGAAUAUUGCACAAUGGGCGAAAGCCUGAUGCAGCGACGCCGCGUGAGGGAUGACGGCCUUCGGGUUGUAAACCUCUUUCAGUAGGGAAGAAGCGAAAGUGACGGUACCUGCAGAAGAAGCACCGGCUAACUACGUGCCAGCAGCCGCGGUAAUACGUAGGGUGCGAGCGUUAUCCGGAAUUAUUGGGCGUAAAGAGCUCGUAGCGGUUUGUCGCGUCUGUCGUGAAAGUCCGGGGCUUAACCCCGGAUCUGCGGUGGGUACGGGCAGACUAGAGUACAGUAGGGGAGACUGGAAUUCCUGGUGUAGCGGUGGAAUGCGCAGAUAUCAGGAGGAACACCGAUGGCGAAGGCAGGUCUCUGGGCUGUAACUGACGCUGAGGAGCGAAAGCAUGGGGAGCGAACAGGAUUAGAUACCCUGGUAGUCCAUGCCGUAAACGUUGGGCACUAGGUGUGGGGACCAUUCCACGGUUUCCGCGCCGCAGCUAACGCAUUAAGUGCCCCGCCUGGGGAGUACGGCCGCAAGGCUAAAACUCAAAGGAAUUGACGGGGGCCCGCACAAGCGGCGGAGCAUGCGGAUUAAUUCGAUGCAACGCGAAGAACCUUACCAAGGCUUGACAUGUUCUCGAUCGCCGUAGAGAUACGGUUUCCCCUUUGGGGCGGGUUCACAGGUGGUGCAUGGUUGUCGUCAGCUCGUGUCGUGAGAUGUUGGGUUAAGUCCCGCAACGAGCGCAACCCUCGUUCCAUGUUGCCAGCACGUAAUGGUGGGGACUCAUGGGAGACUGCCGGGGUCAACUCGGAGGAAGGUGAGGACGACGUCAAAUCAUCAUGCCCCUUAUGUCUUGGGCUUCACGCAUGCUACAAUGGCCGGUACAAUGGGUUGCGAUACUGUGAGGUGGAGCUAAUCCCAAAAAGCCGGUCUCAGUUCGGAUUGGGGUCUGCAACUCGACCCCAUGAAGUCGGAGUCGCUAGUAAUCGCAGAUCAGCAACGCUGCGGUGAAUACGUUCCCGGGCCU